rnacentral:rRNA from 1 species
GUAAGAGCACACGGAGGAUGCCUAGGCGCUAGGAGCCGAAGAAGGACGUGGCGAACAACGAUAUGCCCCGGGGAGUCGUAAGCAGACUUUGAUCCGGGGAUGUCCGAAUGGGGGAACCCGGCUGCGGUUAUGCGCAGUCACUCACUUCUGAAUCCAUAGGAAGUGAAGAGGCAGACCAGGGGAACUGAAACAUCUAAGUACCCUGAGGAGAAGAAAACAAUCGUGAUUCCGUCAGUAGCGGCGAGCGAAAGCGGAGGAGCCCAAACCAGAGAGCUUGCUCACUGGGGUUGUGGGACACCUUAUACGGAGUUACAAAGGAGCAGAUUAGGCGAAGAGGUCUGGAAAGGCCUGCCACAGAAGGUAACAGCCCUGUAGCUGAAAGUCUGCUCUCUCCAAGGUGGAUCCCGAGUACGGCGGGACACGGGAAACCCCGUCGGAAUCCGGCAGGACCAUCUGCCAAGGCUAAAUACUCCCUAGCGACCGAUAGUGAAGCAGUACCGUGAGGGAAAGGUGAAAAGCACCCCGGGAGGGGAGUGAAAGAGAACCUGAAACCGUGUGCUUACAAGAAGUCAGAGCCCUAUGAUUUUCUUCGGGAAAUCAGGGUGAUGGCGUGCCUUUUGUAGAAUGAACCGGCGAGUUACGCUUGCAUGCAAGGUUAAGGUGAAGAGCCGGAGCCGCAGCGAAAGCGAGUCUGAAUAGGGCAAAGCAUAAGCUUACGAAGUAGCAAUACUUUGUAUUGCUUGGAAGUAUGUAGGCGUAGACCCGAAACCGUGUGAUCUACCCCUGUCCAGGGUGAAGGUGAGGUAACACUCACUGGAGGCCCGAACCCACGAAUGUUGAAAAAUUCGGGGAUGAGGUGGGGGUAGCGGAGAAAUUCCAAUCGAACUCGGAGAUAGCUGGUUCUCCCCGAAAUAGCUUUAGGGCUAGCCUCGGGUUAGAGUGAUGGAGGUAAAGCACUGAUUGGGUGCGGGGCCCGCCAAGGGUUACCAAGUCUAGUCAAACUCUGAAUGCCAUCCACUCGGUGCCCGGGAGUCAGACAGUGAGUGCUAAGAUCCAUUGUCAAGAGGGAAACAGCCCAGAUCAUCAGCUAAGGUCCCCAAGUGUGUGUUAAGUGGGAAAGGAUGUGGAGUUGCACAGACAACCAGGAUGUUGGCUUAGAAGCAGCCACCAUUUAAAGAGUGCGUAAUAGCUCACUGGUCGAGUGACUCUGCGCCGAAAAUGUAACGGGGCUAAA